GAAAACAAAAAAAGAGAGAGACAUGAAGGCUCAGGACUGAACAAAAUGGGGAUCCCAGUAAUUAUGAACCAAUGUGCCAGCCUCGGGGCAGAACAGGUGGCCAGGAGGCUGCUAGUUAACUUCAGAGGGGAGGAUUCUGGCAGCAGUGGGGUGUAUGUAGUUCAGGGGAAACGGAGGCACAGGACCCCAUCCUGCCCCCUCCCCAGGCUCCCAGUCCCGAGCUAUGGCUGCUAGGAACCAACUUAGGGUUUAUUUGGGGAAGUUUUAGUGUGUUCAGAGCGUCCAUGUCCUUACCUAGAUCCACCCCAGCUGUGUGGCCUGUGCCUCAGUUUCCCUUGCUGCACAGUUGCCCAGGGGUGGGCAGGUGCACACUGCAGCGGAGAAAGGGAGAAGAGGGCGAGACUACAAUAAGUGGCAGCCUCCUGCCUCCACUGCAACCAAGUCGCCCUUGCCCCCCCAGUAUGUUGCUAAUUGAACCCAGCGCUGGGGGAGGGGUGGGGAAACGGAGUGGGGAGAGAAGAGCUACAAGAGGACCCGAGUGGUGCGAGGACCCUGGUCCGUCCAGUCAGUUCGACCCACGCGUGCUAGAGUGACCCAAAUCCUUACCGGUCCCGCAUCUGAACUCCUGACCCCGCAGCGCAGUCAGCCCCUCCUCCUCCCCGCUCCAGACCUUUCUCUCUCCUCCACCCCUCCUCCCUCCUGCCUACCCCUCCUCCUCGCACCCGUUCUUUGUCCUCCUUUCCCGCCUUUCCUCAAAGCAGCCAAUCCCUUGUAAAUCAUGGGACUGUUUCUGGGACCUUGAGCUGCUUGAGCCCUGGCCCUAGGGUCCAGCGCCCCCCUCCCAGCCCUUCCGGUUUUCAAGGUUCGAGGCGACCCUGUCUGUCUGGCCUGCUGAAGACCCCAACAAUGAUCAAGGCCACUGUGCACAGAACGGACCAGCAGGGUAAGUGGUGCUUCAUGCCUUCCUGAUGCUGGAAAAUACUGAACAUGUGGGGCUCGAGAGCUGGCUCUGCCUGUAAAAGCUCCUGAAGCUCUUGCUGGCGAUCCAGGUUCUGUUCACAGCACCCACAUGGUUGUCUUUAAAGCUGGACACAUCCUGCAGGAGGCUGCUGCAAAGUUCUGCUCAGGGAGCUUCUACUCACCGGGAGCCCAACCUGUCCCUGCAGCCUGACUGAGGCCAGGGAACUCCGGCACUCUUACCUCUUCUCCUGGCCUUGGCACACCUGGCUGAGUGAUAAGAAGCUUCCAGGGAGCAAGGGAAAGCCAGUCUAGCCAGGUCCUGAGAUCAGCUAGGAACCUCACAUCCUGGGAACAGAAAUAGCCUUAGAAUUCGGUGGUAACACCAAUAGUCUAAAAAUCACAGCACCUGGGCGGCAGAGCCAAGUGGAUUGAAACCAGCCUGUUCUACAGAGUGAGUUCAAGGCCAGCCUGGGCUAAAAAAAACCAAAACAAAACAAAA